rnacentral:tRNA from 1 species
AGCCCUGUAGAAUUAUACAGGCCUGCAAAUCCUGGAAAGCAGAGUAAGAUCUGCCGGGGCUU